GGACUGGACUCAGUGGCCAAACAGAUGUUACCUUAGAGGUCCUGAGUUAAUAAAGAAACAUCACUUCUAGGAUAUAUGGAGGCACCUAUGGCCACAACUCCUAGCUUUACCCUGACCUCGGUGGACCCUGUGAAAGAGUUAGUUCCAUUAAUCCUUUCUUCUUGAUGCAUUUCCCCAAUUAGCUUCUUUUGUUUCUAUUUGCUUAUUGUCAAGGUCUUUUGUACCAAUGUUUUGCUACAGGUUAUCUGCUACAAGUUUUCACUCAACUGUCUUGGCAGUAACUUAAAACUUUAAAAAAUAACUUUUGGCCUUGCUAUAUACUAAAAUGCUCAUUACUUACUUACCACUACCUAACAAUUCUGGUCUGACUUGGUUUUCAGUCAGAGUUAGCCCUUCAAAGAGUAGGGCAUAAGGCACUUUCUAUGCCCACCCACACUGGUAAAACCUCUUUUGAGUUUCCAAAACUUUUUCUUCCUGCUUUAGUUUAUCACAGGAUUUAGUCAUUUUAGAAAGAGCUUGCUUUAAAAUUUAAAACAUUUCCCAUUGUAUCAGAAUUUUAAAAAGCUGGUCAGAAAUUUAUGUAUGUUUUUUCCAUUUGUCUUACCUGAGGACUCCAGAUCAGCACACAAGAAAACCUAUUUGGAAAUAUUAAAUAGUCCACAUCUAUUAAGCAAGUGGAGACACCAUAAUCAUCAAACAUAAAACUAGUUGGAGUGCUAGAUGGGAGAUGGGGUUUUUCUCUAAACACUAUCUCCUCCCUUGAAUAGUGGCCGUGCCUCUUCUUAUAUUUUGGACUAAAAGGGACAAGGUUGCAAUGAUCAGAAGAAAGAAGCAAAAAAGCAAAAAGGCAGAUUUACACAAUGGGAUUGCAGAAGAAAAGACCAAAUGCUAGCAAAUAGUGUUCUAACAAAGAUUCUGAAACAAAGGAUAUCCAAAUUAACCAGCUCAAAAUAAAGACGAAC
rnacentral:lncRNA from 1 species